rnacentral:rRNA from 1 species
GUAGGGAAUAUUGGGCAAUGGUCGGAAGACUGACCCAGCCAUGCCGCGUGCAGGAAGACGGCCCUCUGGGUUGUAAACUGCUUUUAUCUGGGAAGAAAAAGGCCAUGCGUGGCAAAUUGCCGGUACCAGAUGAAUAAGCACCGGCUAACUCCGUGCCAGCAGCCGCGGUAAUACGGAGGGUGCGAGCGUUGUCCGGAUUUAUUGGGUUUAAAGGGUGCGUAGGCGGUUGAUUAAGUCAGCGGUGAAAGACUUCGGCUUAACCGGAGCAGUGCCGUUGAUACUGGUUGGCUUGAGUGUCGGAGGGGUACAUGGAAUUGAUGGUGUAGCGGUGAAAUGCAUAGAUACCAUCAGGAACACCGAUAGCGAAGGCAUUGUACUGGCCGACAACUGACGCUGAUGCACGAAAGUGUGGGGAUCGAACAGGAUUAGAAACCCUGGUAGUUC